GUGCUCACUUCAACAGCACAUACACUAAAAUUGGAACAAUACAGAGAAGAUUACCAUGGCCCCUGUGCAAGGAUGACAUGCAAAUUCAUGAAGCAUUCCAUAUUUUU